rnacentral:tRNA from 1 species
GGGGGUAUAGCCUAUCGGUUAGGCGCUUGUCUGUAAAACAAGUUUAGAAUGGUUCGACUCCAUUUGCCCCUACCA